rnacentral:rRNA from 1 species
UGGCGGACGGGUGAGUAAUGUCUGGGAAACUGCCUGACGGAGGGGGGUAACUACUGGAAACGGUAGCUAAUACCGCAUAACGUCGCAAGACCAAAGAGGGGGACCUUCGGGCCUCUUGCCAUCGGAUGUGCCCAGAUGGGAUUAGCUAGUAGGUGGGGUAACGGCUCACCUAGGCGACGAUCCCUAGCUGGUCUGAGAGGAUGACCAGCCACACUGGAACUGAGACACGGUCCAG